rnacentral:rRNA from 1 species
GAUGAACGCUGGCGGCGUGCCUAAUACAUGCAAGUCGAGCGAACAGACGAGGAGCUUGCUCCUCUGACGUUAGCGGCGGACGGGUGAGUAACACGUGGAUAACCUACCUAUAAGACUGGGAUAACUUCGGGAAACCGGAGCUAAUACCGGAUAAUAUAUUGAACCGCAUGGUUCAAUAGUGAAAGACGGUUUUGCUGUCACUUAUAGAUGGAUCCGCGCCGCAUUAGCUAGUUGGUAAGGUAACGGCUUACCAAGGCAACGAUGCGUAGCCGACCUGAGAGGGUGAUCGGCCACACUGGAACUGAGCCACGGUCCAGACGCCUACGGGAGGCAGCAGUAGGGAAUCUUCCGCAAUGGGCGAAAGCCUGACGGAGCAACGCCGCGUGAGUUAUGAAGGUCUUCGGAUCGUAAAACUCUGUUAUUAGGGAAGAACAAAUGUGUAAGUAACUAUGCACGUCUUGACGGUACCUAAUCAGAAAGCCACGGCUAACUACGUG